rnacentral:rRNA from 1 species
UUAUCAGAGAGUUUGAUCCUGGCUCAGGAUGAACGCUGGCGGCGUGCUUAACACAUGCAAGUCGAACGGAGAUUAUUUAAACAGAGACUUCGGUUGAAGUUUUUUUGAUCUUAGUGGCGGACGGGUGAGUAACGCGUGGGUAACCUGCCUUGUACUGGGGGAUAACAGCCAGAAAUGACUGCUAAUACCGCAUAAGCGCACGAAAUCGCAUGAUUUUGUGUGAAAAACUCCGGUGGUACAAGAUGGACCCGCGUUGGAUUAGCUAGUUGGCAGGG